rnacentral:rRNA from 1 species
CCGUUUUUCCGUGCGGCGCUAUGGACAAGUUCCUUGGAACAGGACAUCGUAGAGGGUGAAAAUCCCGUACUUGCCAUGGAUGUACCGUGCUUUGCGAUACGUGCUCUAAGAGUCGAGUUGUUUGGGAUUGCAGCUCAAAAUGGGUGGUAGACUCCAUCUAAAGCUAAAUAUCGGGGAGGAGAGACCGAUAGCGAACAAGUACCGUGAGGGAAAGAUGAAAAGCACUUUGGAAAGAGAGUUAAAAGUACGUGAAAUUGUCGAAAGGGAAGCGCUUGAAGUCAGCCAUGCCGCUCAGGACUCAGCCUGGCUUUUGCUUGGUGUAUUUCCUGGGUAGCAAGUCAGCAUUGGUUUGGAUCGUCGGAGAAGCAUAGUCGGAAUGUGGCGCCCUCGGGCGUGUUAUAGCCUUCUAUUGGAUACGACGAUCUAGACCAAGGAACGCAGCGCGCCUUAUGGCGGGUCUUCGGACACCUCGCGCUA